GAUGAAGAACUCAGCGAAAUGCGAUAAGUAAUGUGAAUUGCAGAAUUCAGUGAAUCAUCGAAUCUUUGAGCGCACAUUGCGCCCCCUGGUAUUCCGGGGGGCAUGCCUGUUCGAGCGUCAUUUCACCACUCAAGCCUCGCUUGGUAUUGGGCAACGCGGUCCGCCGCGUGCCUCAAAUCGUCCGGCUGGGUCUUCUGUCCCCUAAGCGUUGUGGAAACUAUUCGCUAAAGGGUGUUCGGGAGGCUACGCCGUAAAACAACCCCAUUUCUAAGGUUGACCUCGGAUCAGGUAGGGAUACCCGCUGAACUUAAGCAUAUCAAUAAGCGGAGGA
rnacentral:misc_RNA from 1 species